AGUUCAGCUUACUCUUAUUGUACAUAGAAGCAGCCGCUAAUAGAAAUAUGGUGGAAGUAGAUGUGGGGGCGCAAGUGGGAAUAAGAACAAUGUGGAGGACUAAAGGGUGAAAACAGAAGUUAGAAGAACUUUUGGACUUAGAAAAUAAGCUAUUAUAGACUAUAGUUUGAAUAUGAAAUACAGUGGCUUUAAUUUAAGGGAGUGAUUAUAUUUUUUUUUUACAUUUUUUUUUUUAAUAUUUCUUAAUAGUUUAUGGUAAAGAUGUAAAUAUGGUUUUGUAGUAGGGUUAGCAAUGGGAUAACAAUGUACCCCUUGAAAAUACUUUUAUGCUGUUUAUAUAUGGAAUGGAAUAAUAUUUUAUAAUGUAAUUUUUUUUUUGAAGAAAAAAAAGAGUCUUUUGAUGCUUUAAAUUUCUGAGCAUUGCAUUGUUGUUAUUUUGGGAAAGUCUUUUUGGACGGUCGAGGUAACUCCAGAUGAAUGGGGCCCACGGUGGCCGCCUCGUGGGAUUGGUAGAAAGAAAGGCGGUAUCACUCCCAUUACGUGUCAUUUGCUGAUUGG
rnacentral:lncRNA from 1 species